AAAUGAUCGUUUAGGUCCGUGUUGUAGUUUUAGCUUUAAUGAUGUAUUUACAUGUAUACUAAUGUGAGAGGAUACAGGAUUUAUGAUAAGGUUUUUGAGAUUCUCAGUAAGUUGUAUUGGAUGUUAAAUGGAAGUUUUAUCCAGGUAAUUGUUUAGGAGCGGAAGAUGGCGUGCCAGCAGCCGCGGUUAUACGCAUGCUUCGAGUUAAAAUUGUUAUACAAAACUUUAUUUUGAUUGAUUGGUUAAGAGUUUGUUUUUAUUAUUGGGUAGAAUUUUAAUUUUAGAUUAUGAUUAUGGGGUCAAAGUGAAAUAAGAAUAUUAUGGACCAGGAUUAGAUACCCUGUUACUUGUUUUAAAUUAGUUUUGGAAUAUUAGUGUUUAUGAAAUUUAACGGAUUUGGCGGCAAGAUAGCCCAUUUAGAGGAACCUGCCCUGUAAACGAUGGUCCACGAGAUACCUUGCUUUUAUUAGUCGUCAGUUUGUAUACCGCUGUUGUCAGUCAGUUUCUUUAGAGAGUUGUCAAGAAUGAGAUAUUCAUUAACUUCAAGUAAAGGUGCAGCUUAUGUAUAAGUAAGAGGUGGGUUACAAUUAAUAGGAAUAAUCACGGAUGGUAAAAUGAAAAAUUACUUGAAGGUGGAUUUAAUUGUAAAAAUUAAAAAGUUUUGAUAUGAGCACUAUUUUGUGUACACACCGCCCGUCGCUCUCUUUUUUAAAAGGGAUAAGUCGUAACAAGGUAAGUGUAAUGGAAAUUGUACUUG
rnacentral:ncRNA from 1 species